rnacentral:rRNA from 1 species
UGGGGAAUAUUGCACAAUGGGCGCAAGCCUGAUGCAGCCAUGCCGCGUGUGUGAAGAAGGCCUUCGGGUUGUAAAGCACUUUCAGCGAGGAGGAAGGUGGUGAGCUUAAUACGCUCAUCAAUUGACGUUACUCGCAGAAGAAGCACCGGCUAACUCCGUGCCAGCAGCCGCGGUAAUACGGAGGGUGCAAGCGUUAAUCGGAAUUACUGGGCGUAAAGCGCACGCAGGCGGUUUGUUAAGUCAGAUGUGAAAUCCCCGGGCUCAACCUGGGAACUGCAUUUGAAACUGGCAAGCUAGGGUCUCGUAGAGGGGGGUAGAAUUCCAGGUGUAGCGGUGAAAUGCGUAGAGAUCUGGAGGAAUACCGGUGGCGAAGGCGGCCCCCUGGACGAAGACUGACGCUCAGGUGCGAAAGCGUGGGGCAGCAAACAGGAUUAGAUACCCUGGUAGUCCACGCUGUAAACGAUGUCGAUUUGGAGGUUGUGCCCCUUGAGGCGUGGCUUCCGGAGCUAACGCGUUAAAUCGACCGCC